UACACUCCUACGGAAGGCAGCAGUGGGGAAUUUUGGACAAUGGGCGAAAGCCUGAUCCAGCAAUGCCGCGUGAGUGAAGAAGGCCUUCGGGUUGUAAAGCUCUUUUGUCAGGGAAGAAACGGUGAAAGCUAAUAUCUUUUGCUAAUGACGGUACCUGAAGAAUAAGCACCGGCUAACUACGUGCCAGCAGCCGCGGUAAUACGUAGGGUGCAAGCGUUAAUCGGAAUUACUGGGCGUAAAGCGUGCGCAGGCGGUUUUGUAAGUCUGAUGUGAAAUCCCCGGGCUCAACCUGGGAAUUGCAUUGGAGACUGCAAGGCUAGAAUCUGGCAGAGGGGGGUAGAAUUCCACGUGUAGCAGUGAAAUGCGUAGAUAUGUGGAGGAACACCGAUGGCGAAGGCAGCCCCCUGGGUCAAGAUUGACGCUCAUGCACGAAAGCGUGGGGAGCAAACAGGAUUAGAAACCCUGGUAGUCCC
rnacentral:rRNA from 1 species